CAGUUAAUCUAUCAUUUCCCCUUCACUGGAAUUAACUGACAAACGCCAUUAAUCGCUGUUGGCUAAUUAUUGCUUCCGCUCUUAUCCGAUUCCACCAAAGGAUCUCCUCUUUGAAAUUGAUAGAUAAUAAUAUUGAAAUCCGCGAACAAUCUAAUCGUGACGGGGCUUCACAAAAAUGGGAAGCUCAAACAUUCAACCAAACCACGACAACUCUGCCACUGUAUCGGACGGUUCCACCACCAAGACUGACUCUGACUCCGAAACCGACGUUGAUGAAGAAUGUCCUGGCCCCUUCGAAGUAGGUGAAAAAGUCCUUGCUUUCCAUAACCAUCUACCUUAUGAAGCCAAGGUGAUCAAAGCUGAAUACCAAUUGAACGGAUGGAAAUAUUUUGUUCACUACCCUGGUUGGAACAAAUAUUGGGAUGAAUGGGUUGGAGUGAAACGUUUGAUGAAACAUAAUGAUGAAAAUGUGCAACAAUUCCUCAAGAAAAAGCAGGACUUGGAGAAAACCGCCAAGGCAGGGCGGGCAUCACACAUUAAACCAAAAAGUUCCAGUGUUCCAAGAGGCAAGAAGCGGAAAGGUGACUCGCUAAAUAAGGAAAAAGAUUUGGUACCCUUGGAAAAGUUUGUGAAUCUCCAAAUUCCACCCAUGCUAAAGAAGCAACUUGUUGAUGAUUGUGAAUUUAUUACUCAUCUGGGCAAGCUUGUUAAACUUCCUCGUAAGCCUAACGUGGAUAACAUCAUGAAGAAGUAUCUUGAUUAUAGAUUAAAGAAGGAUGGCUUGAUUUCUGAAGCAGUUGUAGAGAUUACAAAAGGUUUAUGUUGUUACUUCAACAAGGCAUUGCCAGUGAUGCUUCUCUAUAAAAGUGAGCGUGAACAGUAUGCUGAUGCAAUUAAAGAUGAUGUCUCUCCCUCAACUAUAUAUGGUGCAGAGCAUCUCUUACGCCUGUUUGUUAAGUUGCCGGAGUUGUUAGGCUAUGCAAACAUUGAAGAGGAUACACUGAUGGAAUUGCAGCAAAGAUUGGUCGAUUUUCUCAAGUUUCUGCAGAAGAAUCAGAGCACUUUUUUCCUCUCUACUUACCAUGUACUGGAAGAUACUGAAACAUGCCGCAACAGACGGGAUGGUUAGGUUGGGUUGUAAAGGUUAGAGCUUUGUAAAUACUAUACCAUAAAACUAAAGCAGUUGGUAUAUUUCUUCUAACCAUUUUGUCAUUAUGCACCUCAAAACUUGUAUAUUGAGAAUUCAAGAGCUGAUGCCCGAAACUGUGCAGUCUAGGAGGGAAAAUGUCUUAGAAGAAAAAGCUACAUUGGAAAUUGUAGCAAGAAACUGUGUUGUGCAUUAAGUGAAAAUUUUUCAUAUCCACUGUUGGCAGAAUGAAAAAUUUACUCCAAGCGACUUGUCGUGUGGUGAGGUUGUGAAAAAUAUUAGGCUAAUAGGUUUGUUACUGCUUGAACAUGGAUAUGCCCCAGCUUUGUGAGUGUUUGUUGGGAAAGGACGUGGUCGAGUUGUUCAUGAAUAACCAUAAACUACCUAAACCGAUUCCAAAUUGAGGUUUGACUUGAUCUGAAAAUGUAAAAAAUUUAAACGUCUGGUUCGUUAUAUGAUUUUAAAAUGAAACUGUCUAAACCGAA